UCAUUUGCCUGACACAAAACAUGCCAACAUCAAGAAGGUUAUUUUCAUAGGGCAAGGCUUAUCCAUUGUGCUCCCAAUGUGUUGAUCCCUGUGAUUUCCCCAAAUGUGAGACACUCGGUGGUAUANUUUGUGGUAUUAAGGAACAUUCACUCUCCCUC
rnacentral:snRNA from 11 species